AUUCAUUUAAGGCUUAAAUUUAGUAUAGGGUGCAUUUGGGUACUAUUACACUGAAUGCUUUAGAAAGUAUUCGCCACUAUUAUCAGAUUAUUACCUAACUAUUACCAUGGUGUUACCGAGCUGUGGUGUCAAUAGAAUUAUAAACCUAUCCAUUCAUAUUCAUCUUCUUAGCAAGCUUUAAUCCUGUUUUUCACCUCACAGAUUUACAGCUUGACCAUUAAUUUACGGAUAAACACUACUUCACCUAAGAGACUUGAGUAUCCAGUUCUUCGUUGACCUUCAGCAUUCAGUUGUUUGUCUUCACCUUUUCAGGUAAGCAAUUUUAAAAAAAUGCUUCAGUAAUGUUGAGAAACACUGAAAUUAUUAUUUAUAAAGAACUUUCAACCACUGUUCUGUGAUGUCAUGUAUAGUGAUAUACAAAUAUAUCUGAAGGAACGGUGUGUUUGGGAUAAUCAAUAUUAUUAGUAUUAUUCGUGUAUUUAUUUAUUUUUAAAUCAGAGAAUGGGGGGAAAAUAGAUUCUUAGUACAAAAACUAGUAACUAGUAAAAAAAAAAUGGUAACAAUAAUGUUCAUUCAUUAAUUGACGCUUGGUCAAACUCUCAUCUAAUUAAGUAUUGCUGUCUCAUUAACAUGUUGUUUUUAUUUAUUUUGUAGGCUAAAACCAGAGAAGCCAUCACCAUGUUGUUUGUUGUCAUUAUGCAGAUUUUUCAGCAUGUGGUCCUCAAUAUAUAGUAUAGAAGUCACUGCAUUUUCUGACGUUUCCAGGUUUCCUGUGUCCAGCAUCUUCAAGACAGACUAAGCUAACUUUUCAUAUUUUUUGCACAUUUAUAUUUAGGUUAGGUUAGGAAUAGGUUAGGUUUAUAGUAGAGUAUUUAGUUUGUAUAGUUUAGCUUUUUAUGCUGGUCUAGGGACAGUUAAGUUAGCAAAUUAAUUUAGUUCAGAUCACUUACAAUUGCAUAUUAUUGUUACAAUUGUGUUAUUUUGUGAGUUAUUGUUGUACAGGCUAUUGUAUAUUGCAGGACCAAGUGAGACGAGGAAGACCACUUCUUCCAAGAUGCCGCUCAGAAAGUGCGUUGGACAAGUCUCGACCUUGCAGAUCCUGCCCCACUUAGCCCAACGACUUCAGACCAUGGGGUACCUCAAAGACCUCCGUCAACCAGCCGGCUGUGGAUGAUGGAUAACGGACCCACAACUCCUUCUCCAGUCUACAAGGUUCUGAAAAUACAGACACCCCCACAGUCCAAGAACAGCUGGAUGACCUCUGGACCCACCUGCCCCCGUUCACCAGUUGAAAAGAUAAGCUUUUUAAAAAAUUCUUCAAUUGUUAAUUCUGCACAAAGUGAUGCACAAAACAUUGUAUGUCUUCCAUUUCAACAAACACAAACAUGAAAUGUAUAUUUAAAUACAUGACUUAAUGCAAGUCAAUCAUACUAAACAUCAUCUUUUUUUUUUUUAAACCAACCAUUGCACACACUUCCAUCCAAGGAGAGGUUACAUCUUGAUGGUAACUUUUUAGAAUUACAAAACUUUUGUGAUAUUUGUAAUUGUUGUUGCUGGGGAGGGGGCGGAAAGGGUAAGUCUAAACAUUGCAUGCAAGAGACCAACACCGGCGUCUCAGGGGAAAGCUAUCUGUAUACAUAACUAUCAAUCUACUUGGUUGCUUCAAAAUUUUACGAUAGUUUUGCAAAUCCUGACCCAGAGAGAAGCACAUCAAACAAACAAAAAAAGCAAUGGUAGAUUUUCAAGGCCUUUCAAUGACAUUAACAUUAUUUUCAAUGACAUUCAUUUUGCAAUUAACAUUAGUUUUACUUUCUAAAACAUAACUAUAAUGACAUUCAAAUGUAGAUUACCACAAACACAAUAAUAAACUUCAAGUCUUAUUGGAUAAAAUUAAAAAUUAUUGACAGUCUUACAGACACCGAU